AAUAUUGGGCAAUGGGGGAAACCCUGACCCAGCAACGCCGCGUGAGGGAAGAAGGUCUUCGGAUCGUAAACCUCUGUCCUUGGGGACGAAAAAAAUGACGGUACCCGAGGAGGAAGCCCCGGCUAACUACGUGCCAGCAGCCGCGGUAAUACGUAGGGGGCAAGCGUUGUCCGGAAUGAUUGGGCGUAAAGGGCGCGUAGGCGGCCUGUUAAGUCUGGAGUGAAAGUCCUGCUUUCAAGGUGGGAAUUGCUUUGGAAACUGGCGGGCUGGAGUGCAGGAGAGGUUAGCGGAAUUCCCGGUGUAGCGGUGAAAUGCGUAGAGAUCGGGAGGAACACCAGUGGCGAAGGCGGCUAACUGGACUGUAACUGACGCUGAGGCGCGAAAGUGUGGGGAGCAAACAGG
rnacentral:rRNA from 1 species